AGAGUUUGAUCAUGGCUCAGAUUGAACGCUGGCGGCAGGCCUAACACAUGCAAGUCGAACGGUAACAGGAAGCAGCUUGCUGCUUUGCUGACGAGUGGCGGACGGGGGAGUAAUGUCUGGGAAACUGCCUGAUGGAGGGGGAUAACUACUGGAAACGGUGGCUAAUACCGCAUAACGUCGCAAGACCAAAGAGGGGGACCUUCGGGCCUCUUGCCAUCAGAUGUGCCCAGAUGGGAUUAGCUUGUUGGUGAGGUAACGGCUCACCAAGGCGACGAUCCCUAGCUGGUCUGAGAGGAUGACCAGCCACACUGGAACUGAGACACGGUCCAGACUCCUACGGGAGGCAGCAGUGGGGAAUAUUGCACAAUGGGCGCAAGCCUGAUGCAGCCAUGCCGCGUGUAUGAAGAAGGCCUUCGGGUUGUAAAGUACUUUCAGCGGGGAGGAAGGUGUUGUGGUUAAUAACCGCAGCAAUUGACGUUACCCGCAGAAGAAGCACCGGCUAACUCCGUGCCAGCAGCCGCGGUAAUACGGAGGGUGCAAGCGUUAAUCGGAAUUACUGGGCGUAAAGCGCACGCAGGCGGUCUGUCAAGUCGGAUGUGAAAUCCCCGGGCUCAACCUGGGAACUGCAUUCGAAACUGGCAGGCUUGAGUCUUGUAGAGGGGGGUAGAAUUCCAGGUGUAGCGGUGAAAUGCGUAGAGAUCUGGAGGAAUACCGGUGGCGAAGGCGGCCCCCUGGACAAAGACUGACGCUCAGGUGCGAAAGCGUGGGGAGCAAACAGGAUUAGAUACCCUGGUAGUCCACGCCGUAAACGAUGUCUACUUGGAGGUUGUGCCCUUGAGGCGUGGCUUCCGGAGCUAACGCGUUAAGUAGACCGCCUGGGGAGUACGGCCGCAAGGUUAAAACUCAAAUGAAUUGACGGGGGCCCGCACAAGCGGUGGAGCAUGUGGUUUAAUUCGAUGCAACGCGAAGAACCUUACCUGGUCUUGACAUCCACGGAAGUUUUCAGAGAUGAGAAUGUGCCUUCGGGAACCGUGAGACAGGUGCUGCAUGGCUGUCGUCAGCUCGUGUUGUGAAAUGUUGGGUUAAGUCCCGCAACGAGCGCAACCCUUAUCCUUUGUUGCCAGCGGUCCGGCCGGGAACUCAAAGGAGACUGCCAGUGAUAAACUGGAGGAAGGUGGGGAUGACGUCAAGUCAUCAUGGCCCUUACGACCAGGGCUACACACGUGCUACAAUGGCGCAUACAAAGAGAAGCGACCUCGCGAGAGCAAGCGGACCUCAUAAAGUGCGUCGUAGUCCGGAUUGGAGUCUGCAACUCGACUCCAUGAAGUCGGAAUCGCUAGUAAUCGUGGAUCAGAAUGCCACGGUGAAUACGUUCCCGGGCCUUGUACACACCG
rnacentral:rRNA from 1 species